CAGCACGGCCUGGAUGUUGGGCAG
rnacentral:miRNA from 1 species